rnacentral:rRNA from 1 species
GGUCAAGUUACUAAGGGCACACGGUGGAUGCCUUGGCAGUCGAACCGAUGAAGGACGUGGCUACCUGCGAUAAGCCUCGGGAAGCUGGAAGCAAGCGUAGAUCCGAGGAUCUCCGAAUGGGGAAACCCAGUGGGGCGAACCCCCACUACCCAUGACUGAAUACAUAGGUCAUGUGGAGGGAACCCAGGGAACUGAAACAUCUAAGUACCUGGAGGAAAAUAAAGAAACCUCGAUUCCCCCAGUAGCGGCGAGCGAAAAGGGAAUAGCCUAAACCGGCUCCUACGGGAGCCGGGGUUGUAGGACCGGCAACGUGGACUCGAGCGUAUAGCGGAAGCGCACUGGAAAGGCGCGCCAUAGCGGGUGAUAGCCCCGUACGCGAAAUGCGCGGAAGCCUAGCCGGCACCUGAGUAGCGCGAGUCACGUGGAACCUCGCGUGAAUCUACGGGGACCACCCCGUAAGGCUAAAUAUUCCGACUGACCGAUAGUGAACAAGUACCGUGAGGGAAAGGUGAAAAGCACCCCGUGAGGGGAGUGAAAUAGUACCUGAAACCGUGUGCUUACAAGCAGUCACAGCCCUAUGCAUAUCUUCGGAUAUGAACGGGUGGUGGCGUGCCUCUUGAAGCAUGAUCCUGCGACUUACUGGUAGUGCCGAGUUUAAGCCGAUAGGCGGAGGCGUAGCGAAAGCGAGUCUGAACAGGGCGUUCAGGCGCUAUCAGUAGACCCGAAACCGGAUGAGCUAGCCAUGGCCAGGUUGAAGCUUCCGUAAAAGGAAGUGGAGGACCGAACCCGUUGAGGUUUAAAACUCUUGGGAUGAGCUGUGGUUAGGAGUGAAAAGCUAACCGAAUCCGGAGAUAGCUGGUUCUCCCCGAAAUAGUUUUAGGACUAGCCUCGGGGGUUCACCGAUGGUUGUAAAGCACUGAUUGGGCUAGGGGGCUCACCAGCUUACCAAACCCUGUCAAACUCUGAAGGCCGUCGGUUCAUACCCCGGGAGUCAGUCUGCGUGAGCUAACUUUCGCAGACAAGAGGGAAACAACCCAGAACGCCAGUUAAGGUCCCCAAGUCAUGGCUAAGUGGGAAAGGAUGUGGAGACGCUAGGACAGCUAGGAGGUUGGCUUAGAAGCAGCCAUUCCUUUAAAGAGUGCGUAAUAGCUCACUAGUCGAGUGUCUCUGCGCCGAAGAUGAUCGGGGCUAAGCCAUGCACCGAAACUGCGUCAGUGCUGCUAAGCAGUGCUGGGUAGGGGAGCGUUCCGUAAGCCGUUGAAGCGGUACCGUAAGGAGCCGUGGAGGUAUCGGAAGUGCGAAUGCAGGAAUUAGUAACGAUAAGAAGGGUGAGAAUCCCUUCCGCCGAAAGCCUAAGGGUUCCUGAGCAAGGGUCGUCCACUCAGGGUUAGGCGGGACCUAAGGCGAGGCCGAAAGGCGUAGUCGAUGGACAGCAGGUCAACAUUCCUGCCCCGCCGUCGUGGAGUGAUGGGGUGACGCAUUAGGAUAGGCCAUCCGGAGCUAUGGCUAUGCCCGGCGGCGUACGAAGUCUGGAGGGAUAGGAAAAUCCGCCCUCCGCGUAGAUGACGUACGUCGGGAAGGUCCUACGGGACUGAUAACUGGUUGAAUCCACGGUGCCAAGAAAAACCUCUAAACGUUGAAGCGAUGGCGCCCGUACCAAAACCGACACAGGUAGGCGAGUGUAAGAGCACUAAGGCGCGCGAGAGAACCCUGGUUAAGGAACUCUGCAAAAUAGCCCCGUAACUUCGGGAGAAGGGGUCCCACGUGUAAGGUUGUCCGCAAGGAUCGCCUGAGGUGGGCGCAGUGAAUUGGCUCUAGCGACUGUUUACCACAAUCACAGCACUCUGCUAACCCUUAUAGGGGAUGUAUAGGGUGUGACACCUGCCCGGUGCUGGAAGGUCAACGGGAGGCGUGAAAGCGCCGAACUGAAGCCCCAGUGAACGGCGGCCGUAACUAUAAAAGCUGACCGUUGUAGUUACGCAAAUAAACUCAGCCAUAUGCUGGAAACUCCGAGAAUCCUCCGCUACUCGCCACAUCGCUUAUGAUGGCGGCAGUGACAACGCGUGAGGUGCGGACAAUCAGCAGGAAAGACUCCCGCGGUGUUGACGAUAUCGAUCAUCAACCUGUUGGGAGAAUCCUCAGAGGCCAUACGCUGAGCGAACUCGAAGCGAUCAACCAUCGCCGCCUGCUUCGAGUAGAUGAUAUGGUCCGAUCUCCAUGGCGACAUGGAGGGCAGAAAUUGCCGCACUGGUUGAAUUCUGACCGGUGUUAACAGUAAGAACGGUCCUAAGGUAGGAAUGCUGCCCCCCUCAUCAGUAAUGGUGAGGUGCGCAUCUGGCUAUAUGCUGGAAACCCUGAGAAUCCGCCGGUACUAGCCCUCAAGCGGGCAGUGACAAUCCGCGCGGCGCAGGCAAUCAGCAGGGAAGUCCGCUGCCACAUUGGCAUGACCCCUCAGAGACCACACGCCGGACGUCCGGCUAUUCGGACGAAGAUAUGGUCC